AGAAAACAAACAAACAAAAAUAUACUCUCUACUCUUUGAUCGUUGAGGUCAUAAUGAGAAUCCUUCAGCAGCUGGAGCAGAUGUCGUCAUGGCGCACCGUGAAGCUGUGUCAUGCAUGACGGAGUGCGCCGCGGACUCUCUGUCUCCAAAGUUACAGCACCACGGUCUGCCUUCGUUUUCACACCCGUCAAACGGACUGCAGCAAGGCUAACAUACUAUGGCUAUGCUAACAGACUGCGGCUAGCCCAUUAGACUGUCUGCAGCAAUGCUAAUAUACUCUGGCUAAGGCUAGCAGACUACAACUUGGCUUAUUGACGGCUGGGCCACAUCUGGUCAUCUGGGCAGUCUGCCAAUAUGAAUUUAUCAGAAUUAAGACAAACUAGUGCACAGUGCCCGUGAUGCAGUUGGUGCGAUGUCAGUGAAACACACAAAUACAGAUUACUUGAACUAUAGAUAGUACACAGUGCCUGUGAUAAAAUUGGUGGCGCACAUACACACACACACAGAUUCCUGGAGUUGUAGAUAGGUCACAGUGCACGUGAUGAUGUCGGUGACACGCACAGAUGUCUGGAAUUAUAGAUAGAUAAUGCAGUGCCCAUGAUGCAGCUGGUGAUGACAGUUCUUCUUAGUGGCUUUGGUACCUAUAUUUCUCAGAUCACAAAUGAAAUUCUCUGUCAUCUCUGAAGUACUUGUUCAACUUAAUCUAUUCUGGUCACUUAUGCACAUCAUAAAAGCAAUUUCUCAUUCUUUUAAACAAAUUGCCAAUGCUCUUGUAUAUUCUUGCAAAUUACAAUGUAGCUUUCAUUGGUCUGAUGUUUCCUAUGUUAUCAAUUGCUUAUGUCAUGUUGAUCAAAGUGUAUUAUAUUGAUUCUCUUUUAAAUUGUCUUACCACCACAAACAUCUUAGACAUUUAGUUCAUAACAGAAGUAAUUACAUGCACAAUGGUUUAGCCAGUUGUCAUGAUUGUAGACCUAAUUCACCAUACAGCGCUUGCAUGUACAGGUCUGCCUAAGAGGUGUUAUUUCUAUGUUUACAUAAACAUUUGUAUUUUUUCCUUUGUGCUAUGCAAUGCUGUAAAAUAGUCUUGUAUUUUCUGUAUCGCAUUUGCAUAAAUAAGACACGACAACUGGCCGAGGAGACUAAAUUCGUACGAACAUUGUUCCUGUCGAAUACCCGUCAAUCGCGGCACUGCACUCCGUUGGAUUACAAAAAGGACACCUGCAAAAUAUGAACUUUGCAGAGUUCAUAGAUCUUGAGUUGAACGUGGGAAACUAAACCCAUUCUAAUUCGUACACACACAAACAUACAAACACACACACACACAGAUUCCUGGCAUUAUUAUAGAGAUCCCCAUAGAACAAAGUCUGUGAUGGGAAGUGGCUCAUUGAUGUAGUGUUGCAAAACGCAGGGUCUGGAAGCAAUAUGAGACCGAGGAGGAGGGAGGACAUGGGGGAACGUUGUGGUUUUGAAAGCCAUAAGGAAAGAAUAAAAGGGAUAAAUGAGAAAAUCCCGGACGAUUAAUCACAUCUCUGUAUACAUGUACAGUAGAUUCCUCAUAGACACACAUAUGUUGCAAAGUGUAUGAUGCAUAUUUUUACUGUAUAGAUAUUUGCGUAGCGGCUACGGUACGUGUCUUGAUAUGUUUUUUUAGCUCAGUGGUUAGAGCAUUUGACUUUAAAUCAAGAGGUUGCAGGCUGAAAUUCCCCUCUGUGCACCCUUUUGGACAAAAGCGUCUGCUAAUGAAUAUAUUAUUUGUCCCGGUGGCUGGCCAGCCCUGGGACAUUACAUUAUUACUAUCAUAAGAUUAUCACUGACACAAAUACAUUGUAUUUGUUUGAAGUCUAGGAUAUAAAUGUAUUAUCAUAAAAUCUGACAAGCUGUAUUUAUGGCAAACAGUACUUACUUUAGUAUGUAUAAAAUAAUAUGUAUGUGUGAGUAUUAUAAAGAGAAAUUGUUAAAGUCGUGGAUGUGAGUUAGCCUUCUCUUCUCUCACUUUGAACCACACUUUCACCACAAUGCUGUAUUCAUCGUUAUCAACUACAUUCAUUGUUUUGUAAUUUUUCCUCAACAUGGUCUGUGCAGUAUCAAUUCAUUCUUUGAGGGUUGUUUCAACCCGUCUAGAGAAUUGAAUUCCAUUUUAUCAUAACCUUUUGGUUGUCUGUUACGUCUCUGAUGACUUAGAUUGAGAUUAGAUCAAUUGUUAAUUGUUCAUCAAGAGGCUCAAUAAACCACCAUCAAUAUUUAACA